UACGUAGGGGGCUAGCGUUGUCCGGAAUCAUUGGGCGUAAAGCGCGUGUAGGCGGCCCGGUAAGUCCGCUGUGAAAGUCGGGGGCUCAACCCUCGGAUGCCGGUGGAUACUGUCGGGCUCGAGUACGGAAGAGGCGAGUGGAAUUCCUGGUGUAGCGGUGAAAUGCGCAGAUAUCAGGAGGAACACCGAUUGCGAAGGCAGCUCGCUGGGACGUUACUGACACUGAGGCGCGAAAGCGUGGGGAGCGAACAGG
rnacentral:rRNA from 1 species